UAGGGGCCAAAAUUAACUAGGAAAAGCUUCCUUGUGCUGCAAAUAAGCACUUAGAGCCUACCACACGCACACAGACAGACAUAGAGAUACACGCACACACACUGACAGACAUACAGAUGCACUCACACACAGGCAGGCAUACUGACAGAUACACACACACUGACAGACAUACAGACACACAUACACACAAUGACAGACAUACAGACACACACACUGACAGACAUACAGGUCAAAAUAUACAUUUGUAUAGCCACUCUCCAGAUUUUUUACCUUUUGGGUGCUGGAGGGUGGCUUCCCUUGUGUCCAUUCUGCAGGCUGAGGAUGUUGGGAGUUAGGGGUGGACUCUUGUAGCCUGCUCCCUAUUCUCUCCUAUCUUGUCCUCUUUGCUCCCUCCGUGCAGCUCCAGUGUCUCGCAGCCUGACCCCCUUCUCAC